AAGACUAUAGACCUGCGGAGUACCUGCGGAAGGAUCAUUAUCGUAUUGUAACAAUUGGGGGGGCCACCGUGGGCUGUCGCUGACCCUUUGAAAGGGGGGUCGUGCACGCCCCCAUAGUGUCAUCCUCAUACAAUCCAACUCACCUCUGUGCAUCACCGCGUGGGUUCCUUUCUGGGUCGAGUCAGACUGGCUCAGAAAAAGGGGCUUGCGUUUUCCAUACAAAUACCCCUAUAAAUCCAG
rnacentral:misc_RNA from 1 species